rnacentral:rRNA from 1 species
UAGGGAAUCUUCCGCAAUGGGCGAAAGCCUGACGGAGCAACGCCGCGUGAGUGAUGAAGGGUUUCGGCUCGUAAAACUCUGUUAUUAGGGAAGAACAAAUGUGUAAGUAACUGUGCACAUCUUGACGGUACCUAAUCAGAAAGCCACGGCUAACUACGUGCCAGCAGCCGCGGUAAUACGUAGGUGGCAAGCGUUAUCCGGAAUUAUUGGGCGUAAAGCGCGCGUAGGCGGUUUCUUAAGUCUGAUGUGAAAGCCCACGGCUCAACCGUGGAGGGUCAUUGGAAACUGGGAAACUUGAGUGCAGAAGAGGAAAGUGGAAUUCCAUGUGUAGCGGUGAAAUGCGCAGAGAUAUGGAGGAACACCAGUGGCGAAGGCGACUUUCUGGUCUGUAACUGACGCGGAUGUGCGAAAGCGUGGGGAUCAAACAGG